GAUCUAUGGAGAAGGCCCUUAGAGUAGAGAAUAAAGAACAUAUCUUAACCAUUGAUUUAGAGGAAAUCAACGGACUAGAUUACAAAUUCAGAUCUUUUCAAUUAAAAUAAAAGAUAAACCAAAAAUCCAAAAAAUCAUAAUUCUUCACGCUGAGGGCAAGAAUGUGAUAGGAAUUUCACUGAAUAACCAUCCUAAAUUAUCUUGGCGAUAAUUAAGGAAUUUAUCCAUAAACCUUCCAUCAUCACACCCAUGUCUCUAACCCUAGGUAUACAGCCACAUUGACCCUACCCCCCAUCUACGGAGCCGCGGCGAUUCCACUCCAUAAGCUUCGAAGAUUGAUUGAUUCCUGUGGUUUCCGGCGACGAUCCGUUAAAGAGGAUGAAGAGUUUCUCUGACGAAGGUCUCGGCCCCGUUCCAGCGCGUUGGAAGGGGAAAUACACGGAUUUUCCUGAUUUUCUGUCGACUUUGUGCAAUAUGAAGAUUGUUGGAGUUGGAGCGUAUUAUUUAGAGCACGAAGCUUCUCGAGGCGUUACGACUAAGGAAUCAAAGGAAUUGAAGUCUUCGAGGGAUAACAAAGGCCACUGCACACACACAACGUUGGUCACUACCGGAGUGGCCUGCUCAGAUAUGCGAAGUGUGAAGCCAGCCUGUUGUUUGCGAAAGGAAUUUUGAUAUGGGGUCUUGAUCAUUCUGUGACUACAAUUCUUUGUUUAGAAUUACUUGUAUUUGGUAUGUUUUUCUAGUUCCGUGAUGCUUCUUUGUUAAACUACCAAUGAUUUUCUUGAAACUUUGGUAUCUUAGCACAUUUGCUUACUAUAAUAAAAAUGUUUUAUUCAUUGGACUA